CUGACCCCACAGGCUGAACCCUGCUUUUCUGGGAUCCAUUCCUGGGAAAUGGAAAUAUUUUUCUCUAUGGUACUCCAACAGGGAAAAUCCAAGAUACAACAGAUAAGAUAUCCCUGGAACCAUCCAAACAGAUGAGGCAAGAGCUGAAGGAACCCCUGCAGACAAGAGAAGAGAUGGACAUAGUGCUUCAGUGGAAGGUGGCAUUUCUUGAAGGAUGUACUCCAUCUUCGGUGCCAGCCCCUGCUGCAGGAAGGAAGGCGAUUCCAGACACGGGCACAGGCACAGCAGACUGGGAUGCUGGGAAGGAUUCUCCAUUAGCCUGGCGCUCUGAAGUUGUGAAGCCCUCUGAGCAUUCUGCAGGCGUGUCUGCAGGGACGACCUCACCAACUCCUACCUUGGAUGCUGCACAAAAGGCCAGCUCCCAUGGCAGGGGUUAGUAGUGUGUCCCUGCUGACCCCUCAGGCUGAGCCCUGCUUUUGUGGGGUCCAUUGCUGGGAAAUGGAACUACUUUCUCUUAAGGUCCUCUGACAGGAGAGACCAAAACAUGGCAGGCAGGAAAUUUCAGGACCCAUUAGAAAUCAUGUGGCAAAUGCUGAAGGAACGUCUGCAGAGAAGACAAGAAAUGAAAGGAGAGCCUGCGGAGAAAGAAGCAUUUCCCGGAGGAAGCAGUGGUUGCAUGCCAGCCUCAGCUCCAGGAAGGGAGGCCAUGCCAGGCACAGGCACAGGAG